rnacentral:miRNA from 1 species
CGAAUAACAUUUUGAUUUUUAAUCGACGUUUCGACUAGUUUGUAGUCAUCCUCAGGAUUAAGAAUCCUGAGGAUGACUACAAACUAGUCGAAACGUCGAUUAAAAAUCAAAAUGUUAUU